rnacentral:lncRNA from 1 species
GCGGCGGCUGGGGAGGUGGCGGCUGCCGAUAUGGUUGCUGUGGACACAGUAGAUAUGGAGGCUGUAGGUGUUGUUACUCAGCUGCAGAAGCAAAAGCCUUAGAUGAAAAUGAAGUCCAGCCUUAAAGUUUUCAAGACUAUGUUGGAAUAAAAGAAGAAGCAUCCAUGUAGUUAAUGUUAUAUAGUAUAUAGGAAAUAAAUAAAUAAAUAUGAAAGUUUAUGUAUGAAUAAUAUGGAUGCAUAUAUGGGGGUUUUAAUGUAUGUUUCUUCCACUACUUUUGCCUUAAUUAGGGUUAGAUCCCUAAUGGCAUUGUGAUUGAGAACUCAAGUUUGCAGUGAUAUUGUAAAUUUGAUAUUUUCUACUGUUGUGAAUGUGACUUAAUUUCGUUUGUUUAGUUACCUGUUUA